AGAAGGAAAAAGAAGAAAAAAGGCCUGUCCAGCAGCAGGCCCAACUCAGGCAGUCCAGCAGCAGCAUAGCAGGCCCUCCAGCAGCAGCCAGGCCCAGCGUCUAGCAGCCAGCAGCCCACUGCAGUCAGCAGCAGCCCAGUAGGCCCAAUCCGCCCAGCAGCCCAGCGACGCAGCCCAGCAAGCCCAAGUCCAACAGGCCAGCCAAAAAAGGAAAAAAGAAAAAAGAGAAGAAGAAAAAAAGGAAAAGACCCAAAAUUGAAGCCCAUAACUUUGGGUUUUUGGCAUCUAAUUCGGAAGGUGUUGAUUAGAGAUUGGUUGCCAAAAAUGGGUUUCUGAUGGAGGAGUCAAUUACGCAAGUAACUGAGAAAAAUGUUGUAGUCCGAGACUGGUUUUGAGGACCUAGAAAGUAAAAGGGAAUAGUUUAAAGGAAUGAUAUAUCUUCAAUCUUCCCGGGAAGACGACUUUGAAUGCUCGUCAGAAUAACCCCGAAGACUUGACUAGGAUCUGGAAAUAAUGAGACUCAGGCACUAGGGGCAUCUUUAUUGGCAAAAAUAUUUUGUAAUGGACUCUUUUGAUUAACGAAACGCCUAAUUAUGGGGCUAUCUUGAAAUCAAUACCAAAUUCUUGCAUAUUUAUUCA